AUAGAUCGUUAUGUCACAUUAGUUGGUUAGCGCGCAUGAAGAUGACGAAAGAACGGUUAAAUUCAGCUCUUUUCUUUAUUGUCGUUCACCAGACAUUAAUACGCUUAAUCAUCAUCUUCUUCUACUUACAGGAUAUUAAUCAUCAUUUAUGACAGAGCCUGUUAGCAGAAUCUUUAAACGCUUAGCGUGUAAAUAAUUUUAAUAAGAGAAACGAAUACGAUAUGCUGAAAAUAGCUGAAGGCUUUUAGCUGGCACAAAUAAUCUGUCGUUGUGUUGCCUCAUCACGAUCUCCAUUUAAUUUUUUUUUGCCCUCGAUAUUUACUUUCGAUGACAGUCAAUCAACUCUACCUUGGAAUAUUAAUUCAUCUAGGGUUUUUUUAUAAAUUAAUAAAA